rnacentral:lncRNA from 1 species
GAAAGUGAUUUGCUAGCUUGGGUAUCAAGGCUGGAUUUGGGGCAAAAUAUGUCUAAACCCUGCCACUAAAGACAAGCUUCUGUAGCAACUCCUAGACUUAAAGGACCACAAUAACCAAAUAGUCCUUAAGGACUCUGUUUCACGUAUCUCUUGAGCACUAGUUAUCUCUGCAGCUAUAGAAGGCUACUUCUUUUCUGUGGGAGAAUAUAAUACAGAGUGCAAGGUUUGUGUUAGCCAUCAGAACUAAAGUGCAGACAGUACAGGUACUUUGGUCGAAUGUCUGGGUCCUGAGCACCAGGUGCUGUAGGAAAUGAUUUCCUUUGUAAAGCACAUUAAAAAUAACAAUAAUAAUAAUAUGUUCCUGAGUUGAUUACUUCUGUGUAUUUGAAAGUGAAACAAGCAGAAAGAGAUUUCUAGCUGAAGCCAGUAUCUUACAGGCACAAUUUGUAACUUGAUAAGGCACCCAGGAAAAUGACAAAGGGCAUGAAAAGCUACUGGCUAUGUUUUUUGUGAUACUUUUAAGCAGGCAGAUGCAAAGCAGCACCAAUUCUCACCCACCCACAUCUCAUCUCUCUCUCUCCCUCCCCACAGCUUAUUUUUAAAGCUUCAGAAGUUAUUAGUGGGUUAUCUCAGCUUUCUCUUUCCACCUGCACUCCUCUAUACCAUGAUGAAAAGAUUUGGCAAGUGAGACAUGGCAAGGACUGGGACAAUAUGCUGAGGUACAUUCCCUGCCUGAGCAUUUCCUGGAGUUGCUACUGUAGCGCACCCAUCUCAGAGCUUCUCAGAUUCUAGCCCCAGACCCUUUUCAUCACCUGCUAGUUCAAAGUGCUACUAGAAAAAAAUAAUAAUAUAAUAUAAUAUAAUAUAAUAUAAUAUAAUAUAAUAUAAUAUAAUAUAAUAUAAUAUAAUAAAGCCUCUUCUGCAAUGCCCCUUAUUUAAGUG